GCCGGGCAUCGUGGCGGGUGCCUGUAGUCCCAGCUACUCAGGAGGCUAAGGCAGGGGGAUCGCUUGAACCCAGGAGGCGGGAGUUGCAGUGAGCCGAGGUCACACCACUGCACUCCAGCCUGGGUGACAGAGUGAGACUCCAUCUCAA
rnacentral:sRNA from 1 species